CAGGGAUGGCGAGGGGGUUGAUGUAGCGGCCAUCGCUGGUGAGGACCAUGAGGACACGCUUCCAGUUGGUGCAGGCGACCUGCAAGGGAAAAAAGCUGGACUCAAUGAGCCAAUUGGAACCAACCUUGGGCACGUAGCAGUAAAUCAGGCCGUGUUUGUCGUCCACGAUGAGGUGUUUGAGAUCCUCAGGCGAAAGCACUUGGCGCUUCCUCUUGUGGCUCAGACAGCCCUGCUCCAAAUGCUCCCUGCGACCUUGGAGGGACCUCUGAGCCGCCAACAGCUCCGGCUGCUUCGUAGGGACGCGAACAAAGGACACGGAUCGAGACAAGCAAGAAAUAGAAAAAAAUUUUGAAAAAUGGUUGCACAAGUUUUCCGCUAAUGCAAUGUUACGUUUAACAGCAAGCUUUUAAUUAGCGUAAAUAAACAAAUACAUUUAUUUCUGUUUUCACCUGGUCUCCUUUGUAGAGGGUCUGCAAUGGGCUUCUCCGGCUUUUCCCUGGUCUGCUGUCCGUCCUCAUGGCCGGUUCUACGGAGAGAGGGACUGUUAAUGAAAUCCACGCAACAACAACAACGGCUCCCCAGUUACUCAUUCUGUGUGGAGCAAAGAAACACGCUUUAAUAGAGGUAGUCAGCUUCCGUCAUCUUUUCAUGGCUCCUGGUUUCGAUCUGUACUUUUCAGGAUUAACCUGCGUGUUUGAUCAGAGGCUUGAAUCACCCUCUGAA